rnacentral:rRNA from 1 species
AGAGUUUGAUCAUGGCUCAGAGUGAACGCUGGCGGCGUGCCUAACACAUGCAAGUCGAACGAGAACGGGUUUAGUUUACUAAACUGUCAGCUAAGUGGCGCACGGGUGAGUAAUGUAUAGUUAACCUGCCCUCUAGAAAGGAAUAACAGUUGGAAACGACUGCUAAUGCCCUAUAUGCCCAUAAUACAUAAGUAUGCUGGGGAAACGCUUUAGUGCUAGAGGAUGGGACUGUAUGGUAUCAGAUAGUUGGUGAGGUAAUGGCUCACCGAGUCAAUGACGCCUAACUGGUUUGAGAGGAUGAUCAGUCACACUGGAACUGAGACACGGUCCAGACUCCUACGGGAGGCAGCAGUGGGGAAUAUUGGACAAUGGGGGCAACCCUGAUCCAGCCAUGCCGCGUGAGUGAAGAAGGCCUUCGGGUUGUAAAGCUCUUUCAGAUGCGAAGAUGAUGACGGUAACAUCAGAAGAAGCCCCGGCUAAUUUCGUGCCAGCAGCCGCGGUAAUACGAAAGGGGCAAGCGUUGUUCGGAUUUACUGGGCGUAAAGGGCACGCAGGCGGUCUUGCCAGUCAGGGGUGAAAGCCCGGGGCUCAACCCCGGAACUGCCUCUGAUACUGCAGGACUAGAGACUAGGAGAGGGUGGUGGAAUUCCCAGUGUAGAGGUGAAAUUCGUAGAUAUUGGGAGGAACACCAGAGGCGAAG